AUAAGACUGGGAUAACUCCGGGAAACCGGGGCUAAUACCGGAUAACAUUUUGAACCGCAUGGUUCGAAAUUGAAAGGCGGCUUCGGCUGUCAUUUAUGAAUGGACCCGCGUCGCAUUAGCUAGUUGGUGAGGUAACGGCUCACCAAGGCAACGAUGCGUAGCCGACCUGAGAGGGUGAUCGGCCACACUGGGACUGAGACACGGCCCAGACUCCUACGGGAGGCAGCAGUAGGGAAUCUUCCGCAAUGGACGAAAGUCUGACGGAACAACGCCGCGUGAGUGAUGAAGGCUUUCGGGUCGUAAAACUCUGUUGUUAGGGAAGAACAAGUGCUAGUUGAAUAAGCUGGCACCUUGACGGUACCUAACCAGAAAGCCACGGCUGACUACGUGCCAGCAGCCGCGCGAAUACGUAGGUGGCAAGCGUUAUCCGGAAUUAUUGGGCGUAAAAGCGCGCGCAAGGUGGUUUUCUUUAAGUCUGAUGUGAAAGCCCCCCGGCUCAACCCGUGGGAGGGGUCAUUGGGAAAACCUGGGAGACUUGAGUGCAGAAGAAGGGAAAAGUGGGAAUUUCCAUGG
rnacentral:rRNA from 1 species